rnacentral:tRNA from 1 species
AGAAGUAUAAACUAUCUGCUUCUAACAGACUAACAUCGAGCCGCUCUCGAAUACUUCUA